CAAAAAGAGGGCGAGAGUUGUAGGGUUCGAUGGCCGGUGGCUCUGAUGCGGCGGAAGCAACUACCUUAUCCUGUGCUCAAUGCAGGAAGCCUGUGCAUCUUCAGUGCCCAAAGUGCAUGGAAUUAAAGCUUCCUCAAGAAGGUGCCGCUUUUAGGAUCUGCUCUUGUGCAUUGAGAAAAGAAAUUCAGGGAGACAUUGGCAAAGAUUGAUCUAGGAAGUGUCUCUCAAUAAUUGAUAAUAUGUUGCCUUUCGUUUGUGUUAGUUCAUGUCAUACGCGACA